AUUUGAAGAUCGUGUAAGAUCAACGGAACGAAGAAAUCUAUAUCGCGUGCGAGGAGAGGAUUUGCAUAAAUUGAGUCUGAGUGAUAAUGACCAGCUAUACUGACAAAGGAACCAAACCUGAAGCCGGCAAAUUUCUAAGCUUUGAUCACUUGACCUUCUACGUUGGCAACGCCAAGCAGGCGGCCAGCUACUAUACCACUCGUCUGGGCU
rnacentral:sRNA from 1 species